UGGGGAAUUUUGGACAAUGGGGGCAACCCUGAUCCAGCCAUUCCGCGUGAGUGAAGAAGGCCUUCGGGUUGUAAAGCUCUUUCGGCAGGAACGAAACGGCGCGCUCUAACAUAGCGCGUUAAUGACGGUACCUGAAGAAGAAGCACCGGCUAACUACGUGCCAGCAGCCGCGGUAAUACGUAGGGUGCGAGCGUUAAUCGGAAUUACUGGGCGUAAAGCGUGCGCAGGCGGUUGUGUAAGACAGGUGUGAAAUCCCCGGGCUUAACCUGGGAACUGCGCUUGUGACUGCACGGCUAGAGUAUGGCAGAGGGGGGUGGAAUUCCACGUGUAGCAGUGAAAUGCGUAGAGAUGUGGAGGAACACCGAUGGCGAAGGCAGCCCCCUGGGCCAAUACUGACGCUCAUGCACGAAAGCGUGGGGAGCAAACAGGAUUAGAUACCCUGGUAGUCCACGCCCUAAACGAUGUCGACUAGGUGUUCGGUGAGGAGACUCAUUGAGUACCGCAGCUAACGCGUGAAGUCGACCGCCUGG
rnacentral:rRNA from 1 species